ensembl:lncRNA
GGGCUGUGUCGGCGCAUGCGCAGUGCGUGCAGGAGGAGAGCCCUGUUUUGACUGUCACAGCGUUGAAGCGCGUAUACCGACUGGCGUGUGGGAUUUUGGAGCGAUUCUGCAUCAGGACGUAGAAUGUGAUUGGAAUGGGAGUCGGAGCGCCGAUUCCCUGAUAGGGUGGAUUAGAGUCUAUCAUUCUCUAAUGAUGCAGGGAGAGGACCGAAAGAAAAGGAAACCGAAUUUGAAUCCUAGAAGUGUGUCUGAGGAAUACUGUCUCAGAGAACGUCCGAAAGAAGACACGACAAGGAUGAAAAAUAAACUGUCCACUUCAGUUGUUAACAGUAAGAAAAGGCCCUGGUCAUGGGAUCAGUACUUGGAUGAGGAAAGAGCCAUCGCAGCCCCCCCGAGACUCUUUACUGAGCUUUAUCAUGGACGACAGCUAGAACUAACCUUUAAAUAUAAUGUGGUUGUACUGUUUGCGGACAUUUUUGUUUUCCUAUUAAUAACAAGGCAGGGUACUUUUUAAUAGGCCAGUCAUUCAGAGAUUGGCAUUAAGCCACAUAAUUCACACUUCAGGGAAUGUAUUGUGAC